UUAAGCGACUAAGCGUACACGGUGGAUGCCCUGGCAGUCAGAGGCGAUGAAGGACGUGCUAAUCUGCGAUAAGCGUCGGUGAGGUGAUAUGAACCGUUAUAACCGGCGAUUUCCGAAUGGGGAAACCCAGUGUGUUUCGACACACUAUCAUUAACUGAAUCCAUAGGUUAAUGAGGCGAACCGGGGGAACUGAAACAUCUAAGUACCCCGAGGAAAAGAAAUCAACCGAGAUUCCCCCAGUAGCGGCGAGCGAACGGGGAGGAGCCCAGAGCCUGAAUCAGUGUGUGUGUUAGUGGAAGCGUCUGGAAAGGCGCGCGAUACAGGGUGACAGCCCCGUACACAAAAAUGCACAUAUUGUGAGCUCGAUGAGUAGGGCGGGACACGUGGUAUCCUGUCUGAAUAUGGGGGGACCAUCCUCCAAGGCUAAAUACUCCUGACUGACCGAUAGUGAACCAGUACCGUGAGGGAAAGGCGAAAAGAACCCCGGCGAGGGGAGUGAAAAAGAACCUGAAACCGUGUACGUACAAGCAGUGGGAGCCUCUUAAUGGGGUGACUGCGUACCUUUUGUAUAAUGGGUCAGCGACUUAUAUUCUGUAGCAAGGUUAACCGAAUAGGGGAGCCGAAGGGAAACCGAGUCUUAACUGGGCGUUAAGUUGCAGGGUAUAGACCCGAAACCCGGUGAUCUAGCCAUGGGCAGGUUGAAGGUUGGGUAACACUAACUGGAGGACCGAACCGACUAAUGUUGAAAAAUUAGCGGAUGACUUGUGGCUGGGGGUGAAAGGCCAAUCAAACCGGGAGAUAGCUGGUUCUCCCCGAAAGCUAUUUAGGUAGCGCCUCGUGAAUUCAUCUCCGGGGGUAGAGCACUGUUUCGGCAAGGGGGUCAUCCCGACUUACCAACCCGAUGCAAACUGCGAAUACCGGAGAAUGUUAUCACGGGAGACACACGGCGGGUGCUAACGUCCGUCGUGAAGAGGGAAACAACCCAGACCGCCAGCUAAGGUCCCAAAGUCAUGGUUAAGUGGGAAACGAUGUGGGAAGGCCCAGACAGCCAGGAUGUUGGCUUAGAAGCAGCCAUCAUUUAAAGAAAGCGUAAUAGCUCACUGGUCGAGUCGGCCUGCGCGGAAGAUGUAACGGGGCUAAACCAUGCACCGAAGCUGCGGCAGCGACACUAUGUGUUGUUGGGUAGGGGAGCGUUCUGUAAGCCUGUGAAGGUGUACUGUGAGGUUUGCUGGAGGUAUCAGAAGUGCGAAUGCUGACAUAAGUAACGAUAAAGCGGGUGAAAAGCCCGCUCGCCGGAAGACCAAGGGUUCCUGUCCAACGUUAAUCGGGGCAGGGUGAGUCGACCCCUAAGGCGAGGCCGAAAGGCGUAGUCGAUGGGAAACAGGUUAAUAUUCCUGUACUUGGUGUUACUGCGAAGGGGGGACGGAGAAGGCUAUGUUGGCCGGGCGACGGUUGUCCCGGUUUAAGCGUGUAGGCUGGUUUUCCAGGCAAAUCCGGAAAAUCAAGGCUGAGGCGUGAUGACGAGGCACUACGGUGCUGAAGCGACAAAUGCCCUGCUUCCAGGAAAAGCCUCUAAGCAUCAGGUAACAUCAAAUCGUACCCCAAACCGACACAGGUGGUCAGGUAGAGAAUACCAAGGCGCUUGAGAGAACUCGGGUGAAGGAACUAGGCAAAAUGGUGCCGUAACUUCGGGAGAAGGCACGCUGAUAUGUAGGUGAAGCGACUUGCUCGUGGAGCUGAAAUCAGUCGAAGAUACCAGCUGGCUGCAACUGUUUAUUAAAAACACAGCACUGUGCAAACACGAAAGUGGACGUAUACGGUGUGACGCCUGCCCGGUGCCGGAAGGUUAAUUGAUGGGGUUAGCGGUAACGCGAAGCUCUUGAUCGAAGCCCCGGUAAACGGCGGCCGUAACUAUAACGGUCCUAAGGUAGCGAAAUUCCUUGUCGGGUAAGUUCCGACCUGCACGAAUGGCGUAAUGAUGGCCAGGCUGUCUCCACCCGAGACUCAGUGAAAUUGAACUCGCUGUGAAGAUGCAGUGUACCCGCGGCAAGACGGAAAGACCCCGUGAACCUUUACUAUAGCUUGACACUGAACAUUGAGCCUUGAUGUGUAGGAUAGGUGGGAGGCUUUGAAGUGUGGACGCCAGUCUGCAUGGAGCCGACCUUGAAAUACCACCCUUUAAUGUUUGAUGUUCUAACGUGGGCCCCUUACCGGGGUUGCGGACAGUGUCUGGUGGGUAGUUUGACUGGGGCGGUCUCCUCCUAAAGAGUAACGGAGGAGCACGAAGGUUGGCUAAUCCUGGUCGGACAUCAGGAGGUUAGUGCAAUGGCAUAAGCCAGCUUGACUGCGAGCGUGACGGCGCGAGCAGGUGCGAAAGCAGGUCAUAGUGAUCCGGUGGUUCUGAAUGGAAGGGCCAUCGCUCAACGGAUAAAAGGUACUCCGGGGAUAACAGGCUGAUACCGCCCAAGAGUUCAUAUCGACGGCGGUGUUUGGCACCUCGAUGUCGGCUCAUCACAUCCUGGGGCUGAAGUAGGUCCCAAGGGUAUGGCUGUUCGCCAUUUAAAGUGGUACGCGAGCUGGGUUUAGAACGUCGUGAGACAGUUCGGUCCCUAUCUGCCGUGGGCGCUGGAGAACUGAGGGGGGCUGCUCCUAGUACGAGAGGACCGGAGUGGACGCAUCACUGGUGUUCGGGUUGUCAUGCCAAUGGCACUGCCCGGUAGCUAAAUGCGGAAGAGAUAAGUGCUGAAAGCAUCUAAGCACGAAACUUGCCCCGAGAUGAGUUCUCCCUGACUCCUUGAGAGUCCUGAAGGAACGUUGAAGACGACGACGUUGAUAGGCCGGGUGUGUAAGCGCAGCGAUGCGUUGAGCUAACCGGUACUAAUGAACCGUGAGGCUUAACCUU
rnacentral:rRNA from 1 species